AGGGGGAAGCCGGUGCGAAUCCGGCACUGACCCGCAGCCGUGAGCCGUCGGCGCGCGCCGUGUCCGUGACCCCGCAGGUCACCUCCGUACGCGCCGGGCAGAGUCGGAAUGCCC
rnacentral:ncRNA from 2 species